rnacentral:rRNA from 1 species
AGUCGACGAGAAGCUGUAGUUUCAAUCCUUCGGGAGAGAAAUUAUAGUGGAAAGUGGCGAAAGGGUGAGUAACGCGUGGGUAAUCUGCCUUCAAGUUUGGGAUAAUUCGCCGAAAGGCGGACUAAUACCGGAUGUGAUGAUUUUUCGCAUGAGAGAUCAAUUAAAGGUGGGGAUUUUUUUAAAACCUGUCGCUUAGAGAGGAGCCCGCGUCCCAUCAGUUUGUUGGUAAGGUAACGGCUUACCAAGGCUUACGGGUAGCUGGUCUGAGAGGAUGGUCAGCCACACUGGGACUGAGACACUGCCCAGACUCCUACGGGAGGCUGCAGUCGAGAAUCAUUUGCAAUGCGCGGAAGCGUGACAAUGCAACGCUGUGUGGAGGAUGAAUGCCCUUGGGUUGUAAACUCUUGUCAUUCGGGAAAAACUGUUUUAACGCUAAUAUCGUUAAGACGUGAUGUUACCGGAAGAGGAAGCCACGGCUAACUCUGUGCCAGCAGCCGCGGUAAUUCAGAGGUGGCGAGCGUUGUUCGGAUUUACUGGGCGUAAAGAGUGCGUAGGUGGUUUUGUGUGUU